rnacentral:rRNA from 1 species
GGAGGGGGGCGAGCGUUAUUCGGAUUUACUGGGCGUAAAGCGCACGUAGGCGGCUAGGUAUGUCAAAGGUGAAAGCCCUCGACUCAACCGAGGAACUGCCUUUGAAACUGCUUGGCUUGAGUCCGGGAGAGGGGAGCGGAAUUCCCAGUGUAGCGGUGAAAUGCGUAGAUACUGGGAGGAACACCGGUGGCGAAGGCGGCUCCCUGGACCGGCACUGACGCUGAGGUGCGAAAGCGUGAGUAGCAAACAGGAUUAGAUACCCUGGUAGUCCACGCCGUAAACGAUGGGCACUAGGUGCAGCGGGUGUCGACCCCUGCUGUGCCGAAGCUAACGCAUUAAGUGCCCCGCCUGGGGAGUACGGUCGCAAGGCUG